rnacentral:rRNA from 1 species
AGGGCACCACCAGGAGUGGAGCCUGUGGCUUAAUUUGACUCAACACGGGAAAACUCGCCCGGCCAGGACACCGUAAGGAUUGACAGACUGAGAGCUCUUUCUUGAUUCGGUGGAUGGUGGUGCAUGGCCGUUCUUAGUUGGUGGAGCGAUUUGUCUGGUUAAUUCCGAUAACGAACGAGACUCUAGCCUGCUAAAUAGCCUACUGAUGACCGCAAGGUCGUCGUGGUACUGGCUUCUUAGAGGGACAAGUGGCGUUUCUAGCCACGUGAAGCAGAGCAAUAACAGGUCUGUGAUGCCCUUAGAUGUCCGGGGCUGCACGCGCGCUACAAUGAGGGAGCCAGCGUGCCGCAACAACCUGACCCGGAAGGGUCGGGCAAUCAUAUCAAUUUCCCUCGUAUCUGGGAUUGGGCAUUGUAACUAUUGCCCAUGAACGAGGAAUUCCUAGUAAGCGCGAGUCAUAAGCUUGCGUUGAUUACGUCCCUGCCCUUUGUACACACCGCCCGUCGCUACUACCGAUUG